CACCUCCCAGGUUCAAGUGAUUCUCCUGCCUCAGCCUCCCGAGUAGCUGUGAUUACAGGCAUGUGCCACCAUGCCCAGCUAAUUUUUGUAUUUUUAGUAGAGGCGGGGUUUCACCCUGUUGGCCAGGCUGGUCUCCAACGCCUGACAGCUUUCUCAUAAGCUCAUGGUGGCCCUUCUGUCACUGACAGCUGCCAUUCUGAUUCACCUAAUUACCAUAAACAAGAAGUGGAAGUGCACCGUUAGUCACCUUUUGAGUCUAAACUAUCAAAUAUGGGCCGGUGGUGGCUCACACCUGUAAUUCUGGCACUUUGGGAGGCCAAGGCAGGCGGAUUGCCUGAAGUCAGGAGUUCGAUCACUUGAACCAGGGAGGCAGAGGUUGCAGUGAGCCAAGAUCGCACCACUGCAUUCCAGCCUGGGUGACAGGGCGAGACUCCGUCUCAAAAAAAUAAAAAAUAAAAAUAUUUUAUGAGGUAAGCCUGGGUGACAGAGCCAGACUCCAUCUCAAAAAACAAACAAAACAGAAUUUGUGUUUUCUACUGUGUGAGCCAUUGGCAGUCAAGUCUGGCUCGGUGGCUCAUGCCUGUAAUCCCAGCACUUUGGGAGACCGAGGCAGGCGGAUCACCUGAGGUCAGGAGUUCAAGACCAGGCUGACCAACAUGGAGAAACCCCAUCUCUACUAAAAAUACAAAAUUAGCCGGGUGUGGUGGCGCAUGCCUGUAAUCCCAGCUACUUGGGAGGCUGAGUUCCUUAUUUCUUGUAAGAUGGUCUGUCAGUUUGCCUGCCUGACACAGUACUCAUUUCUGGGAACAAACUGAUCUGAGGGGAGCAGGGACACCCCAUCACCUAUAUAUUCCAUGUGAUCUGGGCAGGCUGACGUCACUCCCUACCACACAACAGGCAAUAAGCAAGCCUGGCCAAAUCAGAGGAAGCCAUACUGCCUGGAGACUGGUUUAGGAGGGCCUACCAACGAGCCAGGGCCAAUGAGAGAUUCCCCACAGUGAAAUCAAUCAAGGGGUAAGAAGAGGCAACUGGAGAAAGACCAAGAGCCCCAGUCCAUUGCUGCUGGAAACCAUAUCUACCCCUAGGAUUUUUCCAUUUUAUGAGCUAAUGCGUUUUUUGUUUUUGUUUUUUUUGAGACAGAGUCUUGUUCUGUCUCCAAGGCUAGAAUGCAAUGGCACAAUCUCGGCUCACUGCAACCUCCACUUCCCGAGUUCAAGCAGUUCUCAGCCUCCUGAGUAGCUGAGAUUACAGGUGCCUGCCGCUGCACCCAGCUAAUUUUUGUAUUUUUUAGUAGAGAUGAGGUUCUGCCAUGCUGGCCAGGCUAGUCUCCAACUCCCGACCUCAGGUGAUCCACCCACCUCAGCCUCCCAAAGUGCUGGGAUUACAGGGGUGAGCCACCACGCCCGGCCACUAAUACAUUUUUUUUUAAAGAGACAGGAUCUUGCUGUAUUGCCCAGGCUUUAGUGCAGUGGUGUGAUCAUAGCUCACUGCAGCCUCAAACUCCUGAGCUGAGGCGAUCCUCCCGGCCUCAGCCUCACAAGUAUGUAGAACUACAGGUGCGCCACCAGGCCUGGCUAAUUUUGUUUUAAUUUUUCGUAUAGGGGUCUCGCUGUGUUGCCCAGCUGCUCUCCAACUCCCAGCCUCAAGCAAUCCUCCUGCUUCAGCACUGAUCUCACUCAGUGGUUCAGUGGGAUUACAGCCGUGAGCCACUGCACCCAGCCAUAAAUUCUUUUAUAUUUAAAGCAGUUUGAGUCGUUUCCGACCCCUACAACAUAAAGAGUCCUGUCUACUAUUCUCCUCAGGAGACAAAAUCUCUUCCCCUCAGCCCCAACAUCAAAUACAAAGCAUUCAGCCUCGUUAGUCAAAACUGAUCACAAUAAUAGCCUUUAUAGGUGUUUCUAGAGAGAUGGGGUGAGAAAAAAUAGGAUAUAAAUAACCAUUAUUUACAACUUGCAACAGUAAAGUUCCCCCAGACACCCCUUCAAGAUUGAACUCCAAAGCCUCUGGGGCAGAGACUGGGCACCACCGAGCAAAUACAAAAAUCCACGCUCUGACUCCAGGUGCGGAUGGAGGAGACGC
rnacentral:lncRNA from 1 species